AACGGUCUAUACCUGCGGUACCUGCGGAGGGAUCAUUACCGAGUUUACAACUCCCAAACCCCAUGUGAACAUACCUGUUUCGUUCCCUCGGCGGUGUCCGGCAACGGCCCGCCAGAGGACCCAACAAACUCUUUUGAAUUUUUCAGUAUCUUCUGAGUGAAAAAAACAAUAAAUCAAAACUUUCAGCAAUGGAUCUCU
rnacentral:misc_RNA from 1 species